AUGAACGGCCUUACCACCAUGGAUCUUGUCUGAUCUCGGAAGCUAAGCAUGGUCGGGCCUGGUACUUGGAUGGGAGACCGCCUGGGAAUACCAGGUGGUAGCCAAUA
rnacentral:rRNA from 10 species